AACGAACGCUGGCGGCAGGCCUAACACAUGCAAGUCGAGCGAAGCCUUCGGGCUUAGCGGCGGACGGGUGAGUAACGCGUGGGAACGUGCCCUUUGGUACGGAAUAGCCCCGGGAAACUGGGAGUAAUACCGUAUGUGGUCGAGAGACGAAAGAUUUAUCGCCAAAGGAUCGGCCCGCGUCUGAUUAGCUAGUUGGUAAAGUAAUGGCUUACCAAGGCGACGAUCAGUAGCUGGUUUGAGAGGAUGAUCAGCCACACUGGGACUGAGACACGGCCCAGACUCCUACGGGAGGCAGCAGUAGGGAAUUUUCCACAAUGGGGGCAACCCUGAUGGAGCAACGCCGCGUGAUGGAUGAAGGCUUUCGGGUCGUAAACAUCUUUUCUUUGUGACGAAUAUGACGGUAGCAGAGGAAUAAGGGUCGGCUAACUACGUGCCAGCAGCCGCCGUAAUAC
rnacentral:rRNA from 1 species